GAUGAACGCUGGCAGCGUGCCUAAUACAUGCAAGUCGAGCGAACAGACGAGGAGCUUGCUCCUCUGACGUUAGCGGCGGACGGGUGAGUAACACGUGGAUAACCUACCUAUAAGACUGGGAUAACUUCGGGAAACCGGAGCUAAUACCGGAUAAUAUAUUGAACCGCAUGGUUCGAUAGUGAAAGACGGUUUUGCUGUCACUUAUAGAUGGAUCCGCGCCGCAUUAGCUAGUUGGUAAGGUAACGGCUUACCAAGGCAACGAUGCGUAGCCGACCUGAGAGGGUGAUCGGCCACACUGGAACUGAGACACGGUCCAGACUCCUACGGGAGGCAGCAGUAGGGAAUCUUCCGCAAUGGGCGAAAGCUUGACGGAGCAACGCCGCGUGAGUGAUGAAGGUCUUCGGAUCGUAAAACUCUUUUAUUAGGGAAGAACAAAUGUGUAAGUAACUAUGCACGUCUUGACGGUACCUAAUCAGAAAGCCACGGCUAACUACGUG
rnacentral:rRNA from 1 species